GUGCUGGUGGUGUAAGGCGAACAUCGCUGCCCGGAAAGCAGAAGGUGCGGGUUCGAGUCUCACCUGGCGCA
rnacentral:tRNA from 1 species